AUUAAAAAUAGUCAUUUGUGUGCUUGUGUGGGCACGCCUGUGAAGUUUGUGAGCACUUCUGGGCUCAGAGCCAGGUGGUGGGCACUGGCCAGCCGCACCACCAGGCCUCUGGAGGAGCCUGCAAUGUGGGCCCCGGGCCUACCCUGUGCUUCCUGGAAGCCACAAGCACUUCGUGGCGCCCUUCUGCAGUGAGAGUCACUCUUGAGACCCCUGGGGGAGAAGAUUUAGCACAGGAGCAUUCUGGACAAGCUUGCUCUUUCAUUCCCAUGCAGAGAUCCGAGAGCCAGGAAGAAAAUGCCGUCCUUGACAUAGAUAGCUUCUCCAAGGACACAGAUUAAGGCAUCAGGCAUUGGGCUCGGAGAGCUGAGUGCCCAGCCCCGGCCCGCACCCUACUUCUUCACAGAACGCCCCACCUCGCCGGCCUCUGCUGCAGACCCCGGCGGCCCCAGGGGCCCCGGCCGGGCGGCUCCCACCUUCGGGAAAGUCCGGAAAGCGGCGCCGGGCUCCGCGGGAAAAGGCGCCUGUCGGGCCGAGCCGCCCAUCAGCCUACUGCUCUGCUUCUGAGCGUUCGCAAACUGCGGAUCAUUCUGUUUAAU
rnacentral:lncRNA from 1 species